AGCUAAGCUGAGUUCUUGUGAUGCUAGAUAAAUAUAGCAUGAGCAAGUGAUCCUGAAACCGAUGAAACACCCAUCAGCCAAACAAAGCUAUGAAAGGUAUGCUGAGAAGAGGUUAUCAUAAACAAAUAAGAAACAAAAAUUUAUUUGAUAAUUGAUCAUAACAUUUGUUGUAAGCAUUUACGUUCCAACGUUGUAAAAUACUGCAACACAAACAUAAUCUCACCUGCAAGCUGUCAUUCACAAGCUUAUCAAAAUCUGAUGGGGGCAAUUUGGGAAGGGAACCUACUGCAUCUGAUAUAAAUUUCCCAAUUUUGUUGUCGGGUGCAACACGCCCUUCCUGAGAUAAAAAUUAACCAAUGGCAAUGAAAUCCCAGGAUAUAAAGUGAGUAAUAAAAGAAGGCAAUGUUGUCAUACCACAACAUCAUCAACAUAUUUGUAGAUGUCAUCAAUCAAAGCUAGCAGAUGUUCCAUUGUUGCUUCCAUGCCUUCUAAGUCAGAGGGAAUUUUAUCAACGGCGGUUGCCUUUAGGGUAUCAACUGCCAUUACAUGAAUACAAAAAAUAUCAACUACAAUUAUUAAAAAUAAAUAAUGUUUGGUUCUAUUUUAAUAGAUAACUUUCAUAAAAGAAAAAAAGCAAAUAUAUGAAGUUACAAUGAUAAAUAAAAAAGAUUUAUGGAGAGAAGAGAAUAAGGAGUACAAACAGAAAGAAAGAGGAUAAUUAUAAAGAAAGUCCAAUAAAUGCUUCAAAGUAAUUUAUUCAGGCAAGAUUAUCAUUAAAAUAUACAAUCUAGAGAAAUACAAGUUCUUACGAGGAACUUCAAAACAAUACUCUCUUAAGAUGUAUCCACAAAAGUAAGCAUACAAACUUCAGCAAAUAUAUGAAGUUACAAUGAUAAAUAAAAAAGAUUUAUGGAGAGAAGAGAAUAAGGAGUACAAACAGAAAGAAAGAGGAUAAUUAUAAAGAAAGUCCAAUAAAUGCUUCAAAGUAAUUUAUUCAGGCAAGAUUAUCAUUAAAAUAUACAAUCUAGAGAAAUACAAGUUCUUACGAGGAACUUCAAAACAAUACUCUCUUAAGAUGUAUCCACAAAAGUAAGCAUACAAACUUCAGCAAAUAUAUGAAGUUACAAUGAUAAAUAAAAAAGAUUUAUGGAGAGAAGAGAAUAAGGAGUAGAAACAGAAAGAGGAUAAUUAUAAAGAAAGUCCAAUAAAUGCUUACAUCCAACUCGCUCGGCUUCAACCAUUCGAAGGUCCAAUGGAAUUUCUUGAAACUGUGCCGCGAUUUGCCUGUCUCCAAGAGAUAAAUUGUUUGACACAUAUGCUUUAAUGGUACCCCCUCCAUUUGUGAAUCCUGUAUCAACAGUCAAAUGUAUGGGAUUGGGUACUUCUCGAGAAUAAAAUUCAUGGAUCAAUGCACUACCACCAGUUACUCCAAGUCCAGUUGAAUACCUGCAUAAAUAGCCAAAGUUUAGACCAGACGUGGGAUGAGUCAUCCUCUCAAGACCACCAAAGAAACAACUUAGCUAGUAAAGAUCCCUAAAGAAACUUUAUACCUGGAUGCAACGAAACCAAAUCCUUCUUAUAAAAAAUUACAGGUAAAACAAAUAUUUAGAGAAAAGCAUUGUAUCCGUUCCACACAAACACAAUACUCACACUUCCAGAUUCCGAAAUGAACAUUGUUAAUCUAGGAAAUAAGGAUUUAAAAGUUUUUUUAUACACUUCACUGAGAAUACUGUUAUGCAUCACUUGUGUGACAACUAUGGAAUUUAAAAACAACAGGACUUACCAUCCAACAAUGACUUCCUUUUGAUUCACUUUUUGGUGGGACAGUAACAUAUUAUGGUGGUACUCUAUGUCCAAAGCAACCUGGAGAGAAGUUGAAAAAUUAGAACAAUUCUUUUGGAAAAUUGAAACCAUUGAAAAGGAAAGAAUAUGACAGUUCAACUAUAGAUUAGAUUCAAAAGUAAAAUUCAAUUAUACACCUUAAAAGUGUCAAUUAUACAAGUAAUAUAUGUAUUCUCCACCUUUUCAUUCAAAACUCAUUGAACAUAAACAUGGUCACUUUUUUAAGACUUCUAUAUAUUUAAACAAUCUAAUUGCUUCAUAGAUUUGUUAAUCUCAUCCACGAGAUAAAUAAACUUUAUCAAAAUGAAGCCAAGGAAAAAAAUUCAGGAAGGGUAGUUUUCGUAAAAAAAUUAAGCAUAGGACUCACAGUUGCUUUACAUGCUCAAAGAUGAAUCUUUUGAUGCAUCUCAAACAAGAGGUGUCAGAAUAUAAUGAGCACUCUUCAUCCUUGUGCUUGUUUAAACAAAAUUUAACAAGAUCGACAAAAACUUAAGGAUUUCUAGAAAAAACCGUUGAUCAAGCCAGAAAGUGCUGACGCUACAUCUGGGAAACUCUCGGAUUCAUAAGACUGAGGAAAAAAUAAGACUGAGAAUAUAAGGAACAUCUAAGAUUCAUAAGACUGAUAAAAAUAAACUGCAUCGAAAAGAGACCAUGGAAAAAAGGCAGGGUAGGUAGUUUCUCUAUAAUAUUUAGCAUAGGACUCAGAGAGUUGCUUUAUGUGCUCAAAGAUGAAUCUUAUGAUUCAUCUCAUACAAGAGGUGUCAGAAUAUAAGGAGCACUCUUCAUCCUAGCCCUUGUUCAAACAAAAUUUAACAGGAUGAGCAAAAACUUAAGGAAUUCUGCGAAAAGAAAUUGUUGAUCAAGCCAGAAAGUGGCUGGCGUUACAUCUGGGAAACUCAAAGAUUCAUAAGACUGAGAUAAGUUUAUUUCAAAACUACAAAAAAACAUGGAUUAGCUUAAAGUUUAUCAUCACUUGAGAUGAGUAUUUAUAGAGCUCCUAAAGGAGUUUAAUUAAUAAUUACAGCAGCUAACAUUUAAAAGACCAACAGUAUAUCAUGAACAAUUUAAUUUUUCUUUUCCUAUAAGUGGUUGUACAGAAGUUUUAUGCUCUCAAUGGUUUAUGUUCCGCUCCGCCCAGCUUUAGUUUCAAAAAACUAGAUAAAUGUUCGGAUAAAUAAACUCAAUAGUCAUAUGUGUUGAUUGUUUUUGAUAGAGUAGAUGAAUUGAUUAGAAUUGUAACUUUAACAGAAUGAUCUUCAAUUAUCCUAUCUUAUUAUUUUAAUCAAUGCAACAAUGACUACUAAUUUUAUUACAAUUUCAUCUAUUUGUAUCAAUCCAAACAUAGAUUUCACCAUGAUUCUUUACAAAAAUACACACAUUGCAGGGUUACAGAAGCAUAGUAAUGACAACCGUAAAAUACAAAAGCUUAUAUCAUCAUAUUAAAAAUCAUAUCCACAUAGAAGAAAUUGCUAUGCGAUAUUUUCUGUAUCUAAAGCAUGGAAUAUUUUAGAACAUACAUAACUCUAAAUACAAAGCCAAAUACUAACAAUUAAAAUUGAACAGAAAUAACCUAAACUGGAAAAAUUAUCAUAGAUUUAGAUGUGGAACUAAUAAUAAUAAUGUAGAUGGAGGAGAGUGAAAGACCUGAUCGACGGACUCGUUGUGAGGGACGGCAUAGGAAUUACGGAUAUCGACGGUUCCAUUGGGAAGAACGGAUCCGAGAAGAGUUCCGAUGACACGCUCAGCUUGAUCAGAGCGUCGAACG
rnacentral:lncRNA from 1 species